rnacentral:rRNA from 1 species
UACGUAGGGUGCGAGCGUUGUCCGGAAUUAUUGGGCGUAAAGAGCUCGUAGGCGGUGUGUCGCGUCGGCCGUGAAAACCUGGGGCUUAACUCUGGGCGUGCGGUCGAUACGGGCAUCACUAGAGUUCGGCAGGGGAGGACUGGAAUUCCUGGUGUAGCGGUGAAAUGCGCAGAUAUCAGGAGGAACACCGGUGGCGAAGGCGGGUCUCUGGGCCGAUACUGACGCUGAGGAGCGAAAGCAUGGGUAGCGAACAGG